AUCCUGCUGACGAGUCUCAGACAGGACGAAACGCAUGUCUUGGAU
rnacentral:hammerhead_ribozyme from 1 species